rnacentral:rRNA from 1 species
GACGAACGCUGGCGGCGUGCUUAACACAUGCAAGUCGAACGAAGUGGCGAACGGGUGAGUAACGCGUAAUCCACCUGCCCUUCAGAGGGGGACAACAGUUGGAAACGACUGCUAAUACCGCAUACUGAAGGAGGGGAUUGCGUCUGAUUAGCUAGUUGGAGGGGAAACGGCCCACCAAGGCGAGGAUCAGUAGCCGGGCUGAGAGGAUGAACGGCCACAUUUGGACUUGUACACGGCCCAGACUCCUACGGGAGGCAGCAGUGGGGAAACAUCCGCAAUGGACGAAAGGCUGACGGAGCAACGCCGCGUGAGUGAUUACGGCCUUCGGGUUGUAAAGCUCUUUUAAUCGGGACGCGGUACCGGAAUAGAAAGCCACGGCUAACUACGUGCCAGCAGCCGCGGUAAUAC